UAGGAAUAUACGUGUCCCUAUCUACUACCUAGCGAAACCACAGCCAAGGGAACGGGCUUGGAAAAAUCAGCGGGGAAAGAAGACCCUGUUGAGCUUGACUCUAAUCUGGCAUUGUUCGGAGACAUGCCGAGGUGUAGCAUACGUGGGAGACCCCGACCAAGGCGGGCGGUUUCGGCCGUUCGCCUCCGGGCCGACCUUGAAAUACCACUACUCGCAUCGUUUCCCCACUUACUCGGUAGAGCGGAACGCGCGGUUCCGGCCGCGGGCGCGUCCGGCCGGCAGUCGUCGUCGGUUCGUCGGCGCGCUACUGUCGCGCGGCGUGGUCGCCGUGCCGUCGGCCUGUGCCCGUUCGUGCCGGGCCGCGGUUGAUAUUCCGGUAGCGUUAAGCACCAGCCGAGGGAUCCGGGCGUCAAACCGCGGACCGCGUCCGUCCGCGUACGGCCGACCGUCAAAAGUCGCCGUCCGCGUUCGCGGCGUAUCCGCGGGCCCGGUCCCUGGUGCGAUCCGUAUUCCGAGGACACCGCCAGGUGGGGAGUUUGACUGGGGCGGUACAUCUGUCAAAAAAUAACGCAGUGUCCUAAGCCAGCUCAGCGAGGACGGAAACUCCGCGUAGAGCAAAAGGGCAAAUGCUGGCUUGAUCCCGGACGCUCAGUACGCGUAGGGACUG
rnacentral:ncRNA from 1 species